AAAAUAAUUUUACAGAACCUAUUGUAAUUGUUUAAGGGUUCAUUGACAUCAUACUCGAAAUCCAAAAGUAAUUGAUUAACAGUUUCAGAAUAAAGAUCCCAAUUAACGAGACAUGCUGCAACGCUCAGAAUUCUUACAGAAUUUAGCUAAAUGUCCAUACCUCAAGCACCGGUAGCAUUGUUUAACUGGUGGUAUAUAUGGAGUGACAUUGUGGCGCCAACCUCCAAUAUCCAGAUAUUCAGGUAAUACAGAUGCAGCAAAAGUAAUUGUCACGGUUAGAGUUGGCUGUAACACAUAUCCAUGAGUCAAGAUUCUGAGUCAGUAGAAGUAUCUUCCGAAUAUAUAUCCUUGUCAUUACAAGGUUCAUGGUCUACAUCACCUGAAUCGUCAUCUUUUUUUUUCCUUUUCCUACAACUGCGCUUCCCCAUGAAUGCUAAUUAUAUUACUGUCACUGAAUUUAGUGAAAAUAUAAUAUUUUAUUCAAUAAUAAGAAUUGAUAGAGAUAGUUUUUAUAAAUUAAUAAAAAAAAUUUAAAAAACCCGCUUGUUCUUAUUCGAGUUUC